ensembl:ncRNA C16E9.22 ncRNA
AAAAAGUUUCUAGGUCCACUCGCUAGGAGUUUUUGGGGAGUCGAUGACGCCAACCCAGCCGGAAGAUUCAAAAAAGAUAGAGAAACAUGCACAAAAACGUGUAGAUGUAUGCAGAAACCAGCCAGAAAAGUGGAAGAAGGGAAAAAAG